GGACGAGCCGUAGCCAAGUGGUCAAGAGCAUCUGCUUGGCAUGCAGAAGGUCCCUGGUUCAAUCCCCAAGUGGGGCCG